CAAUGGCGUAUAUUAAAGUUGUUGCAGUUAAAAAGCUCGUAGUUGGAUUUCUGGCAGGAGCGACCGGUCGGCCCAAGUGGUGUGUACUAGUGUUGCAUCUGGCCAUAUUUGCGGAGAGCGUGUGUGGCAUUAAUUUGUCGUGCACGGGACCCGCAUCGUUUACUGUGAGAAAAUUAGAGUGUUCAAAGCAGGCUUAUGCCUUGGAUAUGUUAGCAUGGAAUAAUAAGAUAAGACUUUGGCGGUCUAUUUUGUUGGUUUUGACACCGCCUAUUAGUAAUGUAUUGAGUAGGGACUAGGUUGGGGGUUAUUCAUUAAUUUAAUUGUCAGGAGGUAGUAAAUUUCGUUGGUAUUUAUAGAAAGAUAGAACUACUGACGAAAGCU
rnacentral:rRNA from 1 species